rnacentral:tRNA from 1 species
AGCCGCGUAGUUAAAUGGUUAUAACGGACCCCUUAUAAGGGUUUAUUGAUAGUUCAAUUCUAUCCGUGGCUA